CGCGUAGGCGGAUCGACCAGUCAGGGUGAAAUCCCGGGGCUCAACCUCGGAACUGCCUUUGAUACUGUCGAUCUAGAGUCUGUGAGAGGGUGGCGGAAUACCCAGUGUAGAGGUGAAAUUCGUAGAUAUUGGGUAGAACACCAGUGGCGAAGGCGGCCACCUGGCGCAGUACUGACGCUGAGGCGCGAAAGUGUGGGGAGCAAACA
rnacentral:rRNA from 1 species